AGUGAACGCUGGCGGUAGGCCUAACACAUGCAAGUCGAACGGCAGCACAGUAAGAGCUUGCUCUUACGGGUGGCGAGUGGCGGACGGGUGAGGAAUACAUCGGAAUCUACUUUUUCGUGGGGGAUAACGUAGGGAAACUUACGCUAAUACCGCAUACGACCUACGGGUGAAAGCAGGGGAUCUUCGGACCUUGCGCGAUUGAAUGAGCCGAUGUCGGAUUAGCUAGUUGGCGGGGUAAAGGCCCACCAAGGCGACGAUCCGUAGCUGGUCUGAGAGGAUGAUCAGCCACACUGGAACUGAGACACGGUCCAGACUCCUACGGGAGGCAGCAGUGGGGAAUAUUGGACAAUGGGCGCAAGUCUGAUCCAGCCAUACCGCGUGGGUGAAGAAGGCCUUCGGGUUGUAAAGCCCUUUUGUUGGGAAAGAAAAGCAGCAGGUUAAUACCCCGCUGUUCUGACGGUACCCAAAGAAUAAGCACCGGCUAACUUCGUGC
rnacentral:rRNA from 1 species